rnacentral:rRNA from 1 species
GAUGAACGCUGGCGGCGUGCCUAAUACAUGCAAGUCGAGCGAACAGAUGAGGAGCUUGCUCCUCUGACGUUAGCGGCGGACGGGUGAGUAACACGUGGAUAACCUACCUAUAAGACUGGGAUAACUUCGGGAAACCGGAGCUAAUACCGGAUAAUAUAUUGAACCGCAUGGUUCAAUAGUGAAAGACGGUUUUGCGGUCACUUAUAGAUGGAUCCGCGCCGCAUUAGCUAGUUGGUAAGGUAACGGCUUACCAAGGCAACGAUGCGUAGCCGACCUGAGAGGGUGAUCGGCCACACUGGAACUGAGACACGGUCCAGACUCCUACGGGAGGCAGCAGUAGGGAAUCGUCCGCAAUGGGCGAAAGCCUGACGGAGCAACGCCGCGUGAGUGAUGAAGGUCUUCGGAUCGUAAAACUCUGUUAUUAGGGAAGAACAAAUGUGUAAGUAACUAUGCACGUCUUGACGGUACCUAAUCAGAAAGCCACGGCUAACUACGUG